GACGAACUUUGGCGGCGUGCUUAACACAUGCAAGUCGAACGGAAAGGCCCUGCUUUUGUGGGGUGCUCGAGUGGCGAACGGGUGAGUAACACGUGAGUAACCUGCCCUUGACUUUGGGAUAACUUCAGGAAACUGGGGCUAAUACCGGAUAGGAGCUCCUGCUGCAUGGUGGGGGUUGGAAAGUUUCGGCGGUUGGGGAUGGACUCGCGGCUUAUCAGCUUGUUGGUGGGGUAGUGGCUUACCAAGGCUUUGACGGGUAGCCGGCCUGAGAGGGUGACCGGCCACAUUGGGACUGAGAUACGGCCCAGACUCCUACGGGAGGCAGCAGUGGGGAAUAUUGCACAAUGGGCGGAAGCCUGAUGCAGCAACGCCGCGUGCGGGAUGACGGCCUUCGGGUUGUAAACCGCUUUCGCCUGUGACGAAGCGUGAGUGACGGUAAUGGGUAGAGAAGCACCGGCUAACUACGUGCCAGCAGCCGCGGUGAUACGUAGGGUGCGAGCGUUGUCCGGAUUUAUUGGGCGUAAAGGGCUCGUAGGUGGUUGAUCGCGUCGGAAGUGUAAUCUUGGGGCUUAACCCUGAGCGUGCUUUCGAUACGGGUUGACUUGAGGAAGGUAGGGGAGAAUGGAAUUCCUGGUGGAGCGGUGGAAUGCGCAGAUAUCAGGAGGAACACCAGUGGCGAAGGCGGUUCUCUGGGCCUUUCCUGACGCUGAGGAGCGAAAGCGUGGGGAGCGAACAGGCUUAGAUACCCUGGUAGUCCACGCUGUAAACGGUGGGUACUAGGUGUGGGGUCCAUUCCACGGGUUCCGUGCCGUAGCUAACGCCUUAAGUACCCCGCCUGGGGAGUACGGCCGCAAGGCUAAAACUCAAAGGAAUUGACGGGGCCCCGCACAAGCGGCGGAGCAUGCGGAUUAAUUCGAUGCAACGCGUAGAACCUUACCUGGGUUUGACAUGGAUCGGGAGUGCUCAGAGAUGGGUGUGCCUCUUUUGGGGUCGGUUCACAGGUGGUGCAUGCCUGUCGUCAGCUCGUGUCGUGAGAUGUUGGGUUAAGUCCCGCAACGAGCGCAACCCUUGUUCACUGUUGCCAGCACGUUAUGGUGGGGACUCAGUGGAGACCGCCGGGGUCAACUCGGAGGAAGGUGGGGAUGACGUCAAGUCAUCAUGCCCCUUAUGUCCAGGGCUUCACGCAUGCUACAAUGGCUGGUACAGAGAGUGGCGAGCCUGUGAGGGUGAGCGAAUCUCGGAAAGCCGGUCUCAGUUCGGAUUGGGGUCUGCAACUCGACCUCAUGAAGUCGGAGUCGCUAGUAAUCGCAGAUCAGCAACGCUGCGGUGAAUACGUUCCCGGGGC
rnacentral:rRNA from 1 species